CUAGAGGAGAGACUUUUCUGUUUGUUCUGUUUCCUCCUUAAUAAGAACUUAUUGAAAUUCAGAGCAAUGAGGUGGAAAGCACUCGAGGUGUUGUUUUCAAAAUGAUUUGGAAAGCAAGGAAGAUCAACAGGUUCACCCACUGCUAUCAUUUGCCCCUUUAUCUAUGCAUUUGACAAACUCUAUGAAAGUCCUCAUAUAUUUGUUGGUUCAUAUUCUCAAUCAAGGUCUCUACAAAAAGCCCCUGUUGAAGCCAUCUAACUUCAUCUAGGUCAUCUAGCUUUACCCAUGUGGCCAGGAGCCCCCUUCUGAUAUCACUGGCUGUGAUUGUGGCCUGCAAGAAGAACAGCAGCAGUGGCAGCAGGAAUCCACCAUAAUCCUUUCCCACCUGUCGGCAUGGAGCAGGAUGUAAAAGAAGUGGAGCUUCCGUUCUUCUCCUCCGACCAUCAUCCGCAGCCGGUGUAUACUUCAGAGUAUUCCAGCCCUUGAGAGGAGUGUCCGUACAAUGGCGGAGAACCACAGGAUGAGUAGAGUAACAACUGCUGUCAGGCAAAAUAACAGGGUCAGAAGACAUGGUUAAUGAAGUUACAGCAACCGGUGCAAAGAGCCAAUCAGAAAAGGCAACAGUCUGUAAAUGGGGAUAUAAUUAGCAGGAGGGAAGGGGGAGUUAACAUGCUUUGGUUGGAAUCGCAGAAAGUCUGUAAUGAAGGAAAUGACUAGGUAUUGAGGAAGAUUCCAAAAGAUUAGAGCAAACAUUGUGCAACAAAGGCUACCUAAUUAGUAAGGUUGGGGGGAGUGAAUAUACCUUAAUUAGAAGGAAAUAUCUGAUUGAAAGACACCAAGUUGCCUUUUUAAUGGGGAAAAUGCGGUAAUGAGCAUUAGCCACUGAGUCGUCAUUCCAUUCGUAGAACCAAGAUUAUCACUCCAGCUCUCUUCCUUUACUUGCCCGUUACUCUGGUAUGUAAUAAAUACAUGUGAUGGGAUCAUUGUAGGAGCAUUGAAAAUUCCAUAACUGCGCCACGAUAUUAACUGAAAAGUGACAACUGAAACCAUCAUUUGGAACCAGUUCCCCAGAUUUACUACAUGAUAACACCUUUGUGUAAACUAUAGUAAUGUGGUGUCAGUUAAGCUCUAGGAAAAGGUUUGUAAAGCUUAACAAAGAAAUAAAGUGUAUGUGUGUGUGAAAGAGAGAGAGAGGGAGCAACUUACAUUCAGGAUAUAUAGAUUAGAUGAAAGCAUCUAGUCUCACAAUCCUUACCCAUGACAAAUCUCUGAAAGCAAGACUUAUUUGUCUUACAGUAUAAUGCUACACAUAUCUGCUUGGAAAUAAGUCCCACUGUGUUCAUUACAGCUUAGUCUGUAAAAAGUGUGUUUGGGACUGAAGUUUAAUGGUUGAUCUUACAAUAGUGGGAGCUAGACGCUUGCUAAAAUAUUUAUAUACCACCCCAUCUUUAAUUUGAUUUGGGGGCCAUAUGUAAUAGAAAAAGUUAUCCAUGAAUCCAGAAAAUUUUGAUUAAUACCAAACAAGGUAAUUAUUUUUUUUAACAUUUUAGAGCUUCAAAUAAAAGGAUCAAAUAGUGAUUUAUGUAACGUAACAAAUGUGCACUAUUUACUGGCUGAAAUGAUGUAAAAUGGUCACAUUGGCUUGCUUAUCUGUUUAUUACAAUAUAGAAAUAAAGA